rnacentral:rRNA from 1 species
GAUUAGCUAGUUGGUGGGGUAAAGGCCUACCAAGGCGACGAUCUGUAGCUGGUCUGAGAGGAUGAUCCGCCACACUGGGACUGAGACACGGCCCAGACUCCUACGGGAGGCAGCAGUGGGGAAUAUUGGACAAUG